rnacentral:rRNA from 1 species
GCCUACGGGGGGCAGCAGUGGGGAAUAUUGCGCAAUGGACGAAAGCCUGACGCAGCGACGCCGCGUGAGGGAUGAAGGUCUUCGGAUCGUAAACCUCUGUCAGCAGGGAAGAACGGUCACUGUGCUAAUCAGCAGUGAAUUGACGGUACCUGCAAAGGAAGCACCGGCUAACUCCGUGCCAGCAGCCGCGGUAAUACGGAGGGUGCGAGCGUUAAUCGGAAUUACUGGGCGUAAAGCGCUCGUAGGCGGUAUGUCAAGUCAAGGGUGAAAGCCCGGGGCUCAACCGCGGGACUGCUUUUGAAACU